UCCACAUCAGCCUGAAAUUUACAAAAUGAUUGAACAUAUUGAUUACAUGAUAUAACAAACAUGCUAGUAGUUGUACUAAUAAUGAGAACAACAGUCAGAAAAACUGCAUAUAUCAUUACUACUCUUGUAUCAAAGCAUAAACAAAAUCAGGGCAAUUUGACUAAAAAAAGAAUCCAGACCAUUAUAUCAUAUCCACUUAGCGUGAUAUUAAAGACGAUAACAAAAAGGCUCUUCAUCUUAAAAUUUGUGUGCAAAGAUAGAAGGGAAAUGCAAAAAAAAAAAGCGAUUAAAACAAACCAAAGUAAAAUGGACACACAAGGAUGGAUCCAUGCAAUGGGGCCCCAAACUUCAAAAAAUGAAAAUAAGUUUUUAUAUCAUAUCAAGCUGUUAAAUUGCCCCCUCAAUGAAAACAAAACUCAACUCAACUCAAC
rnacentral:misc_RNA from 1 species